AUUGAACGCUGGCGGCAUGCCUUACACAUGCAAGUCGAACGGUAACAGGUCUUCGGAUGCUGACGAGUGGCGAACGGGUGAGUAAUACAUCGGAACGUGCCCAGACGUGGGGGAUAACGAGGCGAAAGCUUUGCUAAUACCGCAUACGAUCUAAGGAUGAAAGCAGGGGACCGCAAGGCCUUGUGCGUUUGGAGCGGCCGAUGGCAGAUUAGGUAGUUGGUGGGAUAGAAGCUUACCAAGCCGACGAUCUGUAGCUGGUCUGAGAGGACGACCAGCCACACUGGGACUGAGACACGGCCCAGACUCCUACGGGAGGCAGCAGUGGGGAAUUUUGGACAAUGGGCGAAAGCCUGAUCCAGCAAUGCCGCGUGCAGGAUGAAGGCCUUCGGGUUGUAAACUGCUUUUGUACGGAACGAAAAGGCUCUGGCUAAUACCUGGGGCACAUGACGGUACCGUAAGAAUAAGCACCGGCUAACUACGUG
rnacentral:rRNA from 1 species